GUGGGGAAUAUUGGACAAUGGGCGAAAGCCUGAUCCAGCCAUGCCGCGUGUGUGAAGAAGGUCUUCGGAUUGUAAAGCACUUUAAGUUGGGAGGAAGGGCAGUAAGUUAAUACCUUGCUGUUUUGACGUUACCGACAGAAUAAGCACCGGCUAACUUCGUGCCAGCAGCCGCGGUAAUACGAAGGGUGCAAGCGUUAAUCGGAAUUACUGGGCGUAAAGCGCGCGUAGGUGGUUUUGUAAGUUGGAGGUGAAAUCCCCGGGCUCAACCUGGGAACUGCGUCCAAAACUGCAUGACUAGAGUACGGUAGAGGGUAGUGGAAUUUCCUGUGUAGCGGUGAAAUGCGUAGAUAUAGGAAGGAACACCAGUGGCGAAGGCGACUACCUGGACUGAUACUGACACUGAGGUGCGAAAGCGUGGGGAGCAAACAGGAUUAGAAACCCGGGUAGUCC
rnacentral:rRNA from 1 species